rnacentral:rRNA from 1 species
AGCGAACGCUGGCGGCAGGCUUAACACAUGCAAGUCGAACGCAUCCUUCGGGGUGAGUGGCAGACGGGUGAGUAACACGUGGGAACGUACCUUUUUGUUCGGAAUAACUCAGGGAAACUUGAGCUAAUACCGGAUACGCCCUUAGGGGGAAAGAUUUAUCGCAGAAAGAUCGGCCCGCGUCUGAUUAGCUAGUUGGUGAGGUAAAGGCUCACCAAGGCGACGAUCAGUAGCUGGUCUGAGAGGAUGAUCAGCCAUACUGGGACUGAGACACGGCCCAGACUCCUACGGGAGGCAGCAGUGGGGAAUAUUGGACAAUGGGCGCAAGCCUGAUCCAGCCAUGCCGCGUGAGUGAUGAAGGCCCUAGGGUUGUAAAGCUCUUUCGGCGGGGACGAUAAUGACGGUACCCGCAGAAGAAGCCCCGGCUAACUUCGUGCCAGCCGCCGCAGUAA